rnacentral:tRNA from 1 species
UUUCUGGUGGUCCAGUGGUUAGGACUCUGCGUUGUCAUUGCGGCGGGUCCAGAUUCAAACCCUGGUUGGGGAG